UACGUAGGGUGCAAGCGUUGUCCGGAAUUAUUGGGCGUAAAGCGAACGUAGGCGGUUCUGUAAGUCUGGGGUUAAAGAUCAAGGCUCAACCUUGGGAAUGCCCUGGAAACUACAGGACUGGAGGACGGCAGAGGAAAGUGGAAUUCCCAGUGUAGCGGUGAAAUGCGUAGAGAUUGGGAGGAACACCAGUGGCGAAAGCGACUUUCUGGGCCGUUCCUGACGCUGAGGUUCGAAAGCCAGGGGAGCAAACGGG
rnacentral:rRNA from 1 species